rnacentral:rRNA from 1 species
CCUACGGGGCGCAGCAGUGGGGAAUAUUGCACAAUGGGCGCAAGCCUGAUGCAGCCAUGCCGCGUGUGUGAAGAAGGCCUUCGGGUUGUAAAGCACUUUCAGUAAGGAGGAAAGGUUAGUAGUCAAUACCUGCUAGCUGUGACGUUACUUACAGAAGAAGCACCGGCUAACUCCGUGCCAGCAGCCGCGGUAAUACGGAGGGUGCGAGCGUUAAUCGGAAUUACUGGGCGUAAAGCGUACGCAGGCGGUUUGUUAAGCGAGAUGUGAAAGCCCCGGGCUCAACCUGGGAACUGCAUUUCGAACUGGCAAACUAGAGUGUGAUAGAGGGUGGUAGAAUUUCAGGUGUAGCGGUGAAAUGCGUAAAGAUCUGAAGGAAUACCGAUGGCGAAGGCAGCCACCUGGGUCAACACUGACGCUCAUGUACGAAAGCGUGGGGAGCAAACGGGAUUAGAUACCCUCGUAGUC